ACCGUGAACCUAUAGUUGUAUUUUCACUUAUGCUAUUUGGCAGUAGCAUUGAUAGUUUUGUUAGAAAGCAAAGUAUCUUUGCACUCACGCACAUGGACAAUUACAUUAAUUAUGUUCUAUACCUGUCAACUAGCUGAUUUUAUAUACGUGAAAUAUGAUGCUUAAUCAGAUCUCCAUCUUUAUUUACAUUUAUGACAAGGAAAUUUUGUUUCUGUUCUUCACCUUUUGUUCUUCAUGUAUCCUGGACUUACUUCUGUGCAUACCAGUUUUGCCUCUGCAGAUAACACACUGAUAUAAUCAUGUACCAAGCCAUGCACGGAAAAUAAAACAGGUCCUUUGCACUUGAUGAAGUUAAAAUUUUGUUUAUUAAUACCAGCGGUGAUCUUUAUUCAGGGGUUGUAGAUAAAUAAUUUUAGUUAUGUAUUUUUGUUCCAAUACUUUUAGGUUAGAAUACAAAUGCUUUCUGCUAUAAUAACGUGUUAAAAAUAAAUAACUUUUUUGUUUUGUGCUUCAGCCUCCUUCGCUUUUAGAUGGACACCAUUAUGUGUUUAUGAAGAUAAGUGCCUAAUUUUAAAAUCUUGGAUUUAGGAGAAAAAAACUCAGCCUUUUAAUUGGGUACCAUUAGCCACUUCCAUUAAAAGUGCUCAGGUUUGUUAAAAAUCUUCGAGAAGUGGUGCCUACCUAAUCAUCAUGGCAUGCAUGCUUACAUGUUCCAUUUAAAAUACUAAGAAUCACAUGACAAUACUAACACUUUGAUAUAAUACUAAGCUUCUCAAAUGUGCCUAACUUUAGUUGGAUUCUAACACUUCGAUACAAUACUAAGAAUAACAUGACAAUACCAGGGUUAUUUUUGCUUUACAAGUCAUACAUUUAUGUCCAUUUAAAAUGAUUUCAUGAUGAAAUUGGUUUAUUACUACAAACUAAUCUCAUAUGUGCACAGACUGGGACAAGGUCAAACGGAUUUUCAUGAUGAGAUAUUUGUUCGUGCUUUGUUUGAGAAUUAUUUUUAUGUUACAAUGUUGUUUUGGUUUAAGCGCAAGCCAAAUAGAUUUGCUACUUGCAAGGUUGAUAGUUGUCACUGAUUAUAGAAGUCAUGACUCAUGAAUGGAGUUACUUAAAUUCAGUAUCAAAGAUACUUGGAGUGGGGAGGAACUUGAGCGAGUAUACGGUAAAAAUAAGUUAGGUCUUAAUAUUGUUGAAGAUACUUGCACAAAGGUUUCUUCUACUAGAUUUGUGAGUCUGCUCUCUUGCAGAUGGAUUCUGUGUAUGGAUACUAUAUGAAUUAGCAGACUCGAGGAAAUGGUGGUGCUGGUGUUAUCAGGGAGGGAGGCAUACCGAAAAUGCAGCCCAAGCAGAAUCCAAUGCACUCCCCUCCUCCAAUAAGUCCUGGUACCAGCACAGAAGGUGAGCACCGAGUGUUGCCCUCGGGUCAAGGCAAGCACCAAAACUAAUUCUUGAGCAUAUGUACAUUUGUUAGCCCAAAGAUCACUUAUUUCAACCCAAACACAGAAUAUUGAGGCUCCCAAGUGUAGUUUGCUAAAGCUUACAGGAAGAGCUUCUGAAGGUUCUCAUGUUAUGUUUUAGUUCUUGCAGGGGAGGUUCGUCAGUCAGGCUUCGCUUCUGUAGAAUGCCAUGAAGAAAGAGAGCUAGGGGAAGAUAGCAUUGCACCCAUGGUCAUUUUUUUGGAUUUCACUCUCCCUCUAACUGAAACUCAUGAAAGCUUCUGUCUUUUAGUUCUGCACUUUUGUGAGCAUGCAAUGGGUAGAGAUAACUGUAGAGUGACUUGUUGCCAUGGGGAUGAGAUAGUUGCUGGCAACUUUCAUGGUCCAAAUGCUAGGGUAAAUGAUGCAAUAAGGCAAAAACUUAUUUAGCAGUGGUACAAUGUUAUGCUAAUGUAGAAAUGAUCAUGUUACUAUGCUUUCAUCCUAUUAUGUUAUAAUUAUGCAUAGUAUACAGAGAAA